GGAGCACCCUUCUAAACUAGCAUUAAUAUUCUUUAAGUAGCACUCCGUAUAUAAUUCUUCCCAUUUUUGGCUCUAAUUUAAAAAUCACAGCAUUUUCUUUCUCUCUCCAAAACAAAACAAGUUAUAAAUUUCUCUCUCCAAAACUCAAAAUUGAUUUUCAAACCAAAUCGAGCUCCAAAUUUCUCUCUCUCCAAAACCCAAAAUCGAUCUUCAGACCAAAUCGGCAUCUAUUUCACCUAUUUCAUUCCAAAUCACUAUUCACCUAUUUCACGAUUCGGCAUCUAGGUUGAACAAAUUGGCACUUGACAUCUCCUAUUUCAGUACAAAUCGACUUCGACUCGGAUCAAAACCUUGAUUUCGGCUUCGGUUCGGUAAGGGUUUAACUAUUUUCCUCCAUUACAAUUAUAUUUCUAAGUUUUUGUUUUGGUCUGUUUUGGUCUGACUUUGAUGACACCAUCUCUAGCGGUCCAAUUUCCAUUGUUUCAGGGUAAAAUUAGAUUCUUACAUAUGUGACUAUAGAGUUUGAUAUUGUUCCCAUUAAUGGAUAUCGGGGGUGUCCCUGGUUGGUUCAUCUUUGCUGGUGAAUAUACAACCACUUUAGUAAUAAUUCUAUCGUUUGUACAUUUUUAUAAUUUUAUUGAUUGAUAGCCAAUUGUACAAGAUUUACAUAAUUACCUUUUCAAUGUGUUUAAAUGAUAGUUUAUUGGUGCAAAUUUCUUGGACUAUUCCUCUAAAUCUUUUGCUUGAAAAACUUUGUUGGUCGUCUAAAUUUGUGGUUUCCUUUUACUUGAAACAUUUAGUUAAUGAGCUACGUUCAGCAUGUUACGAAUUAAACAAAUGUUUCUAAUAAUGUAUCAGCCUGUAUUUUUUGUCAAUGAAAUGUUUUCCUUCUUGGUUUUGUUUCUUUGCAGAGGCACCCAUUGCCACAACCCUUUGCACUGAGUAAACCCGAUCCCCAAAGUGCCUAUAUGGAGUUUGAUUAUUCGAACUUUUUUAUGUUGCUUUUAUUCAAAUAUCUAGGCUCAUAGUUAUCCCAGAUGGCAGCCUUUGACUUGGAUAAAAAGGACAAGUUUGCUAAGAAUACACAACACUUUACUAUGAAUAGGUGGCUCACCUAAAUGAAAAGACAGUGAGCCUGUAAUACCCAUGAACACUACAACAAAUUGGCUUAUCAGCGACCGCAUAUGGUCGCAGAUGAGUAUUAGCAACCGACUGCGGUCGCUAAUAUUAGUCACAGGUAAUCUGGUCGCUAAAUGGACAUCAACGACCAAUAAUAGCGACCGAAUUAUUAGCGAUCACCAUCAGCGACCGACUCCGUCGCUAAUCUGACUCACGCUGAGUCAGUUGUCAGGAAUGACGUAGUACACGUGACAGCAACUGGUAAUUGUGAUCAAUGCGGUCGCUAGUUUCCAUGUUGCUAUCAGCAACCGCUUAUAGUAGUAGCGGCCGCAUGCGAUCGCUAAUGUUAUUUUUUUUAUAAAAUAUUUUUCCUGUUUUGUUGAUUUUCCAAAAAUAACCUUCUUUGUACCUGCUUUCUAUCCCAACACACAGCAACAUAUAAGGCUGUAAACGAGCUAACACAGUUCGAGCUCGAUUCGGGCUCGACUCAAAAAAAUACGAGCGAGACUCGGAUUCGUUAAUAAUAUGAUCCAAAUCUGAGCAUUAAAAAUAGUUCGAAUAAAAAUAUGAGUAGAAUCUGAGCAAGGUUAUACUCAACACGUUUAAGAUUCAAACAACUCGAAUUCUUGAUUGUGAUUCGAUACAUACUUGGUUAAUACAUAUUCGAUUAGAUGUUCGAUACAUUCUCUUAUAAUAUAUACAAAUUUAAAUCAAAUUAGGAUAAUUAGUUAUUAUUUUGUUUUGUUUUUAAUUUUAAUUGUGAUUUUAUAUUUGUAAAGUGUAAUAAUAAAUAUAUUUUCUCAUUUUUAAGUAAAAUAACAAAUUUAAUUUAUAAUUAUAUUUAUUAUAAAACUAGUUAUUAUGUGGAGACUCGAAUUCGAGCUUGAAUUUGAAGCUCGCGAGUAGUUUGAAUAAAUAUUCGAGUCGAGUCGGAUCGAAUUCGAGUAAUAAAUAUUCGAGUCGACUCGAAUCUGAGUAGGAUUUUUCAAAUAUAAUUCGAAUUCGAGUACGAAUUUAUCAUUUCGAGUCGAAUUCCACUACAAGAAAAUGCUCUAACAGCGACCAAAACCAUCAGCGACCGCACUUUUUAGUCGCAGAAAGUAUUAUUAGCGACCGACAGUAGCGACCAAUAUUGAAUUUGGUCACUAGAGUAUUUUAGCGACCGAACCCGGUCGCUAUUCGGUCGCAGGUUCACUUUUACCUCCAAAAAAAUUGGCACGAAAUGUUGGCGCGUUAAUUGUUUGCAACCACUCACCAUCAGCGACCGCCUGCGGUCGCUGAUACUUCCACAUCAUUUAAAAUUAGCGACCGCAGGCCGUCGCGGAUAGCGAUCGCUGAUCUAUUACAAUUAACCAGUUCCAGUUCGUCACUCUCGAUCGACAGAAGAAAAAAAAGAGGGAGAAAAUAAUAGGACUGUUUCUUCACCUUUACUUUUCACAUACCACAUCUGCCUCACAAUCUCAAUAAAUGCUGACAUUAUGUAUAAAUUAGAAGACAUUUAUUCAUCCAUGUUCACAUCGAAGAGUAGAGAAGCUUCUGUUUUCCUAAUAAUUAAAAUAUCAUUUUCCUUAACAACACAGCCUUAGUAGAGAAGCUUAUGUUUUCUUUGUAUUUUCUAGUCUGGAAAAGCUAAGAUACACAAUAGCUACUUCUAAAUUUUUACAUGCUUUCAUAACCAGACACAAAAGAGGGUCCUCCAACAAAACUUAACCUUCAAUUUCAGGAAAAAAAAAAUCACAAAUUGCACUUAAAUGAUACUUAAACAAAUAAAACUUUCCCGACUCUUAAACUUUCCAACAAACUUGUCAUGUUAAGACAUAAUGUCAAAUUUCCCAUCGAGUAUGUUUUGCAUGUUGUUUCAAGCUUAAAGUUAUCAAACAGUUGACUGCAUAUCUACUACUCCUAUCUAAUUAAAGGAAGUGCUCCCUCAUUAUCUUAAUAUAAGAAGUUUUAGAGAAGUGAUUUUGUUUCUUGAUAUAAGCCGUUUGAGAAUUUUAAGUAAUCAUUAUGAAUUUAAUACUUAUGUACAACUCUAAGAGGUUGGCCCACAUGAUCAAUCACUUUAUAUCCAGCUUUAAUAGUAGAAUUCUUAGUAAUACCAUGAGAGGAUGUUAUUGUUGACAUUCCCCACAAGACAACUUUCCAUAUAUAUGCGCCCACUUGAACACAUUGAUGUGAACACAACUUUCCAUAUGAAUUGAUACUUCUAUGGAAAUACAAAUCUUAGGUUUAGUGGCAUUUGGUUCCUUUUACGUCUGUUUAGUAACAGUCUAAUCAGAGGUUAUGGAGGCAACUAAGAGAGUACUAGUUUCUAACAUGAAUGACACACUUAUUCUAACAUCCUAAUUUUUUUUAUUUAUAGAUGUCUUCUGAACCUGCAACACGAAAGCGCGGGUUGGGUCGGGGCCCUAAUCAUGUGCCGAAGGCCCCGGUUAAUCCGGAUGAUCGCAUUCUUAUACAGAUCCGUCCUCCUCCAGAAAGCACGUAAGUUAAACAUCGUGUAUAUAUAAGGN
rnacentral:lncRNA from 1 species